GGUGGUUCUUGGGUGAUGCACCCUGGAAUCGGGCUCCUUCCUCUCUAGUUCUGGGUGCAUCACCAAAGAACAGCA
rfam:Myotis davidii contig94497, whole genome shotgun sequence.